UACGGGGGGGGGCAAGCGUUGUUCGGAAUUACUGGGCGUAAAGGGCUUGUAGGUGGCCAACUAAGUCAGACGUGAAAUCCCUCGGCUUAACCGGGGAACUGCGUCUGAUACUGGAUGGCUUGAGUGUGGGAGAGGGAUGCGGAAUUCCAGGUGUAGCGGUGAAAUGCGUAGAUAUCUGGAGGAACACCGGUGGCGAAGGCGGCUACCUGGACCGGUUCUGACGCUGAUGCGCGAAAGCGUGGGUAGCAAACAGG
rnacentral:rRNA from 1 species